AACCAACCAGCCACCCGUCAGAGAGGGACAUGCGCAAUGUACAUUGAAGAUGUCAGUUUCUACAUGUGGGAAGUAGACAUUGAAGGCUUUAUGGUUUACAGACAAGAUCUUUAGAAGAUAAGCACUAAAGAGAGAAGAGGUACUCCCUUAUAGGGACUCGUAAAGACAUAGAGCAUCUGGAAAUUAACUGCCUCCAUUACACUGCUGAGUCACACACAACGCUUGUUAUGUUUUCAUCACUUCUCUCCAGAAGGCUACAUUAUUGGAAUUUUGAAGUCAUGAAAACAUCAGAUGAACCAACCUGCAACACCUUGGAUUCAGAUUGGAAGAUAAAGAGAAAGUUUAAAGAAUGUGGCCUAUAAAGGCGGGUACCUGGAAAUAUUAACCGACUCACACUGUAAAAAUGAGACCAGUUUCUAAACAAUAGAGAUUGUCUUAGUACAACAUCAAGGUUCAAGACAAAUGUUGAACUAAAAACUUUACACUCCCCACCCCCACUUCAGACAGGUACCAGCAUUGGUGAAUUAUGAUUUUCCUUAGUCAGAAGC
rnacentral:lncRNA from 1 species